rnacentral:lncRNA from 1 species
AAGAUAGUAACCAACAAAUUUUAAAAUCAAAGCGUCAAAUGAAAAUAGAUUAAUAAUGUUAAAGAAAACAAAAUAAGAUGAUAUACAAUAGAUUCACAAUAUUGGUAUAUAAUGGAUUUUGAAAAUAUAAAAAUAAGAUUAAAAUAGUAAUUUAUUAUACUUUUAGACCAUAAUAAUAGUAAACUUAAACUCUAUCAAAAUAAAUAUCAUCAAAAAUAUUAAAUACGAUAAUAUAUGAAAAUAGAGUUAAUUAUAAUUAAAAUUUAACAUCGAAUUUUAAGAAAAAAGACUAAAUUAGCAUUAAAUUAAAAUUCAUUUCAAAAAUUUAAGGGCCAAAGCAAUAAUAAUACGCAAACAAUGGAAUACUCAAUCAAUAACCAAGAAACGGCACCGUCUAGAUUUAGGGCUAAAUGAAAACUAAAUCAAAUAUGCCGUAUAAAUUUUAAAAGAUAAAGGGGACCAAAUUGAAACCAAACAAAACGAAGAGGGACUUGUGAAGCAAAUAAACCAAUGAACCCAAGUGCGCGGAUCCUGCCCCGGGUCGGGUCAUCGCGCGGGUUUAGUCGUCAGACAACACCGUUUUAAAUCCGGUGAUUAAAACUAAAAUAAAACUAAAAAAAACACUUAACCUAACACUUUUAUUUCCCUUUUUUAAAACCUAAGCUCUUUCUCCGCGCCGCUCUGUUUACUGAGUAUCCGAACCAUCGCCGAUCCUAGCCCAUAUUCCGAUGACGACGGAGAGAGGGCCAGGACCGUUCUACCAGGUACGUCCCUUACUCUUUUCUAAUAUUUCUCUUUUAAACAACGAUCGAUGAACAUGCAAAUUAGAAACAGAAAGCCAAGAAAAGAAUCAAAUAACCAGUAAAAUAAAAAGGAAUGAAAACCCAGAAAAUCACCUUUUUUCAAAUUUGAUUUCUCUGUAUUUUUUUGCGUAAGUAGUAGUACAAUCAUUCUUCCGGUUCUUAUAUCCUCCUUUUUUUGACCGAGAAGCCGAAAAUAAAAAUACAAUUGAAAUCAAAAAAUAAAAUAGAAAACCCCCAUUGGUUCCUCUUUGCUGUGCUGUUUUCAUUCUAUUUGCAGGUGCGAUCGUACGGGGACUGGACGUGGCGUGUACGGAGGCCAGCUAGGAGACGCACACGCGCGUGGUGGCACAGCACACGCGCGUGGUGGCACAGCACGCGCGGGGGAAAGCUUGGCCGCUGCGGUGCUGGGAGCCCAUGCUGUUGAAGGCUAAGGUUUUCUGAUUUUGGUCUUUAGGGCUUAGGUGAUUUGGGCCAGGGGUAUCCGGGCUAAAUUGGGUCUGGGCUUAGGGUGUCUUGAAAUUUUAGGCUAGUUGGCCUACUCAGAUUUGGCCCUAUUGUUGUAAAGAAAAGGACUGUGUUAUUUUUUC